rnacentral:rRNA from 1 species
GUGGGGAAUAUUGCACAAUGGGGGGAACCCUGAUGCAGCGACGCCGCGUGAGCGAAGAAGUAUCUCGGUAUGUAAAGCUCUAUCAGCAGGGAAGAAAGUGACGGUACCUGACUAAGAAGCCCCGGCUAACUACGUGCCAGCAGCCGCGGUAAUACGUAGGGGGCAAGCGUUAUCCGGAUUUACUGGGUGUAAAGGGAGCGCAGGCGGCGCGCCAAGUCUGGUGUGAAAGCCCGGGGCCCAACCCCGGGACUGCAUUGGAAACUGGCGUGCUGGAGUGUCGGAGGGGCAGGCGGAAUUCCUGGUGUAGCGGUGAAAUGCGUAGAUAUCAGGAGGAACACCGGUGGCGAAGGCGGCCUGCUGGACGGCAACUGACGCUGAGGCUCGAAAGCGUGGGGAGCAAACAGG